CUUGGUUGAUCCUGGCAGUAGCAUAUGCUUGUCUCAAAGAUUAAGUCAUGCACGUGUAAGUACACAUGGCCGGUACAGUGAAACUGUGAAUGGCUCAUUAAAUCAGUUAUGGUUCCUUUGAUCGCUUCUUCUGUUACUUGGUUAACUGGUAAUUUAAGAGCUAAUACAUGGCAACACAGCGCAUACCUCCCGGGAUGCGUGCAUUUAUCAGACCGAGAACAAUCUGGGGCCGAUCGCACAUCCCUGUGACUGCGAUGAUGCAUUCGGAUGUCUGCCCUAUCAACUUUCGAUGGUACUUUCUGUGCCUACCAUGGUGGCCAUGGGUAUUGGGGAAUCAGGGUUCGAUUCCGGAGGGGGUGCCUGAGAAACAGCUACUAGAUCCAAGGAAGGCAGCACGCAUGCAAAUUACCCACUCCCGACUCCGGGAGGUAGUGACGAAACAUAACAAUACAGGACUCUUUCCAGUCACUGUAAUUGAAAUGUGUACAUUUUAAACUCUUUAACGAGUACCCAUUGGAGGGCAAGUCUGGUGCCAGCAGCCGCGAUAAUUCCAGCUCCAAUAACAUAUAUUAAAGUUGCUGCAGUUAAAAAGCUUGUAGCGGUUCUUGUGAUCGAGCUGGCUGUCCGCGCGAGGCGAGCUACUGCCUGUCCCAGGCCCUGCCUCUCGCCGCCCCCUAAAUGCUCUUGACUGAGUGUCAUAGGGGUCCGAAGCAUUUACUUAGAAAAAAUUAUUGUUCAAAGCAGGCCGGUUGCCUGAAUACUUCAACUAGGAAUAAUGGAAUAGGACUCCGGUUCUAUUUUGUUGGUUUUCGGAUUGUGCUGCUACAGGUGAAAUUCUUGGACCGGCGCAAUAAAAAAAAAACAUUACCCAGCAAUGGUUUUCUUAAUCAAGAAUGAAAGUCUGAGGUUCGAAGACGAUCCGAUACCGUCGUAGUUCCGACCAUAAGCUAUGCUGACUCGCGACCUGGCGACGUUAUUACCAUGACCCGCCGAGCAGCUUCCGGGAAACCAUAAUCUUUGGGUUCCGGGGGGAGUAUGGUUACAAAGCUGAAACUUAAAGGAAUUGACGGAAGGACGUCACCAGGAGUGGAGCCUGUGCCUUAAUUUGAACCAUCACCGGAAACCUCACCCAGCCCGGACACAUAAAGGAUUGACAGAUUGAUAGCUCUUUCUCGAUUCUGUGGGUGGUGGUGUAUGGCCGUUCUUAGUUGGUGGAGCGAUUUGUCUGGUUAAUUCUGAUAAUGAACGAGACUCCUCCAUGCUAACUAGUUAUGCGACAUCCCCCCCAGCGGUCAGCGUUAAACUUCUUAGAGGGACAAGUGGCGUUCAGCCACACGAGAUCAAGUAAUAAUAGGUCUGGGAUGCCCUUAGAUGUGUCAAGCCAUGGGGAACCCUCCCGGUCCUCCUCCUCACCUGUGUCUUCAAUGGAGCUCUCUUGGGCCUCUGAUUCCUAUUUCUUGCGUGGUUUCCGUGGUUCUUUGAGUUUCUUUUCCUUCUUCUGAUGAAGAUAGGGGCAAGCUCCCUCGGAAGCCACCUUGGACUGACAAGUCACCCGAGACUAGGGGGACCCCGAGGAGCAAGCCCACUAAUUCAGGGAAAAAGCCUCUUCGGCACAAAAAACCCUGAGAGUAGCUAGGUUCAGAGUCACGUCUGCAGAUUAGAUCAGGCAAUGGUCUUCUUUUCAGGAUUCAGAAGAUGGUAUCCAGUAAGAAGAAGUGCUGAGUGGAACAC
rnacentral:rRNA from 1 species